rnacentral:rRNA from 1 species
GUGAUGUGCCUGCUGGCUGGGAGUUGCCAGACCCCGCGGCGCAAUGAAGGUGAGGGCCGGGGCGCCCCGGCCGAGGUGGGAUCCCGCCGCCCCGCGCGGCAGAGGGCGCACCACCGGCCCGUCUCGCCGGCCCCGUCCGGGAGGUGGAGCGUGAGCGCGCGCGAUAGGACCCGAAAGAUGGUGAACUAUGCCUGGGCAGGGCGAAGCCAGAGGAAACUCUGGUGGAGGUCCGCAGCGGUCCUGACGUGCAAAUCGGUCGUCCGACCUGGGUAUAGGGGCGAAAGACUAAUCGAACCGUCUAGUAGCUGG